UGAUGCUACCAGGCAUAAGAUGCUUGUGUUAGUCAGUAAUAUGUUGUUGAGACAGGAGAGUUCCUUUGACCCUUUUGCAGAUGGGAACUAGAGUGCACUGGCUCUGGGUUCAGCCUGCCACUUUGCUGCCAACAGGGAUGAACUUCACUCACUCAAACCCACUGGGCUCAACCCCUCACGGGAGGGAGCACACAGGAAGAAUCAGGUCGCACGAAUGGUUUGAAAGGUGAUGAUGCAGAGGAUUUUAUUAGGCAGUGGAAGUAGCUCUCAGCAGAAGGGGAGCUGAAAGGGGGGUGCAAGAAGAAGGUGAUCUUUCCUUGAAGCCUGGUCGUCUCCAUCUGGGCUCCUCUCCAAAGUUGUGCCGUCUGAAGUUAAGUCGCAUCUAUCCAUAGUCUCAGAUGCCCAGUUGCUUCUUCACCUCUUGAUAUUCAGCUGCUUGUGUUGCUCUGCCAGCUGAAGUCUGUUGUGGGCACAGAAUAGGGGCAGACUGGGCCAAAAAGGCAACAUUUGGGCAGAAAAAUGGGGUCAGAUGUUUUCACUUAUGGUCACCAUCCGAGGCUUAAAGGUGGGGUUUAGCCAGGAGCCUAGCUCUUCCGUAUCAUUAUGGAAUGCAGAAAAUCAUUGCCUGCCAAGAUUCCCACACGCGAAUCCCCAGAACCUAUGAAUAGAUUACCUUAUGAUGUGAUUCAGGUUACAGAACUUGAGGUCAGAGGAUUCUCCUGAAUGAUGUAGAGGCUCCCAAUCAAAUCACAGGAGUCCUUAGAAUGGAGAAUCUUUUUGGCUACAGUUGUUCAAAGAGAUGCAAAGAAAGAAGGACUUGACAUCCUGUUUUGGACUUUGAAAAUGGAGGAAAAGGGCAUGACCCAAGGGAUGCAGGUGCUCUCAAAAGCUGGAAAACGCAAGGUAACCAAUUCUUCCCUGAAGGCUCCAGAAAGAACCAUAGGCUUGUCAGCACUCUAAUUUUAGCACAAGGGCACCGUGCCAGAUGUCUGAUCUACAGAAAUAUAAAAUAACAAAUUUGCCUUGCUUUAAACCAUUAAGCUGGUGGCAAUUUGUUACAGCAGCAAUAGGGAACUAAUAUACAUGUACUGGGCUUGCAAGGUAGACAGCACUGUGAGAAAAGGAAUCAUAGAAAAUUAGUGCUGAGAUGAACUACUGAGAUAAUAGAAUCUAACAUCCUCAUUUUAGAGAAAAGAAACCUGUUGUUUAUAAGGAGUUGACUGAUGUGCCUAGGGUCACACAGCUAGAGCCCUUUAAGCCAAAUUGUUGCUCUAUUAUCCUACACAUUUCCUCAUAAAUA
rnacentral:lncRNA from 1 species